UACGAAGGGUGCAAGCGUUGUUCGGAUUUAUUGGGUGUAAAGCGCGCGUAGGCGGACCUGCAAGUCAGAUGUGAAAUCUCGGGGCUCAACCUCGAAACUGCGUCUGAAACUACAGGUCUAGAAUCUUGGAGGGGGAAGGGGAAUUUCGCAUGUAGGGGUAAAAUCCGUAGAUAUGCGAAGGAACACCAGAGGCGAAGGCGCCUUCCUGGACAAGUAUUGACGCUGAGGCGCGAAAGCGUGGGGAUCAAACAGG
rnacentral:rRNA from 1 species